UAAUACGGAGGGUGCAAGCGUUAAUCGGAAUGACUGGGCGUAAAGGGUGUGUAGGUGGUUAAUUAAGUUAGCUGUGAAAUUCCUGGGCUCAACCUGGGGUGGUCAUCUAAGACUGAUUGACUUGAGUAUGGGAGAGGGUAGUGGAAUUUCCGGUGUAGCGGUGAAAUGCGUAGAGAUCGGAAGGAACACCAGUGGCGAAGGCGGCUACCUGGCCUAAUACUGACACUGAGGCACGAAAGCGUGGGGAGCAAACAGG
rnacentral:rRNA from 1 species